rnacentral:rRNA from 1 species
UACAGAGGGGCAAGCGUUGUUCGGAAUUACUGGGCGUAAAGGGCGCGUAGGCGGCCACAACAAGUCACUUGUGAAAUCUCCGGGCUUAACCCGGUAGCGGCCAAGUGAUACUGUUGGGCUAGAGUGCGGAAGGGGCAACUGGAAUUCUCGGUGUAGCGGUGAAAUGCGUAGAUAUCGAGAGGAACACCUGCGGCGAAGGCGGGUUGCUGGGCCGACACUGACGCUGAGGCGCGAAAGCUAGGGGAGCGAACGGG